UACGUAGGGUCCGAGCGUUGUCCGGAGUUACUGGGCGUAAAGCGCGCGCAGGCGGCGGUGCUGGCCCGGCGUGAAAGCCCCCGGCUCAACCGGGGAGGGUCGUCGGGGACCGCACCGCUUGAGGGCGGUAGGGGCUGGUGGAAUGCCUGGUGUAGUGGUGAAAUGCGUAGAGAUCAGGCGGAACACCCGUGGCGAAGGCGACUACCUGGCCUGUUUCUUGACGCUGAGGCGCGAAAGCUAGGGGAGCAAACGGG
rnacentral:rRNA from 1 species